rnacentral:rRNA from 1 species
CCUACGGGAGGCAGCAGUGGGGAAUAUUGCACAAUGGGGGAAACCCUGAUGCAGCGACGCCGCGUGAGUGAAGAAGUACUUCGUUAUGUAAAGCUCUAUCAGCAGGGAAGAAAAUGACGGUACCUGAGUAAGAAGCCCCGGCUAACUACGUGCCAGCAGCCGCGGUAAUACGUAGGGGGCAAGCGUUAUCCGGAUUUACUGGGUGUAAAGGGAGCGUAGACGGCAGGGCAAGUCUGGAGUGAAAGGCGGGGGCUCAACCCCCGGACUGCUCUGGAAACUGUACGGCUGGAGUGCAGGAGAGGUAAGUGGAAGUCCUAGUGUAGCGGUGAAAUGCGGAGAUAUUAGGAGGAACACCAGUGGCGAAGGCGGCUUACUGGACUGUAACUGACGUUGAGGCUCGAAAGCGUGGGGAGCAAACAGGAUUAGAUACCCCGGUAGUC